rnacentral:rRNA from 1 species
AUUGAACGCUGGCGGCAUGCCUUACACAUGCAAGUCGAACGGUAACAGAUCUUCGGAUGCUGACGAGUGGCGAACGGGUGAGUAAUACAUCGGAACGUGCCUAGUAGUGGGGGAUAACUACUCGAAAGGGUGGCUAAUACCGCAUGAGAUCUACGGAUGAAAGCAGGGGAUCGCAAGACCUUGUGCUACUAGAGCGGCCGAUGGCAGAUUAGGUAGUUGGUGGGAUAAGAGCUUACCAAGCCGACGAUCUGUAGCUGGUGUGAGAGGACACUCAGCCACACUGGGACGGAGAACCGGCCCAGACUCGUACGGGAGGCAGCAGUGGGGAAUUUUGGACAAUGGGAGCAAGCCUGGUCCAGCAAUGCCGCGUGCAGGAUGAAGGCCUUCGGGUUGUAAACUGCUUUUGUACGGAACGAAAAGCCCUGGGUUAAUACCCUGGGGUCAUGACGGUACCGUAAGAAUUAGCACCGGCUAACUACGUGCCAGCAGCCGCGGUAACAC